GUGCAGUGUGCAGGAAUAAGUGCAGACUGGCCCUUUAAAUACAAGCCACGUUUUCCUGAUAGGAGAGUGAAGUGGAGUGGAGUGAAGCCGGUGAUUCCUCUUUUCUCCUGCCCUUAGGAAAUCCUUUGUUAGCGGUUUUCUCAGGACAAUCCAUCAGGCCUACCUUCCAGCACACCCCUAUAUGGACAUAAAGUGAAUUUUAAUAUGAAAGCUUGUGAACGUUUUCCAGAACAUUCCAUGGAUUUUCUAUAGAUGGCCAGAUAAAGGAUUGAUAGGAAAAGGCUGGAUGGUUCCAUUCAGACAGAGGAGGACUUGACAGACAGGAUUGUGGUGGAUCCAGAGCCUAUCCCAAAGCACUAGGCAGGAAGCAGGGACACAUCAUGGAUAGGAUUUACACACUCAUGCCCAACACAUUACAACUGGAGUCAAUUUAGAGUAUUAUUAUUGUUAUAUAUUUUCUUAAUAAAAAAAUGUUUCAACAGUUUCAAUAAA